rnacentral:rRNA from 1 species
GAAGAGAUUUGGGAGUGCUCGCAAGAGAGCCGGAACACAGGUGCUGCAUGGCUGUCGUCAGGCUCGUGUCGUGAGAUGUUGGGUUAAGUCCCGCAACGAGCGCAACCCUUGUCAUUAGUUGCCAUCAUUUGGUUGGGCACUCUAAUGAGACUGCCGGUGACAAACCGGAGGAAGUGGGGAUGACGUCAAGUCCUCAUGGCCCUUAUGGGUAGGGCUUCACACGUCAUACAAUGGUCGGUACAGAGGGUUGCCAAGCCGCGAGGUGGAGCCAAUCCCAGAAAGCCGAUCGUAGUCCGGAUUGUUCUCUGCAACUCGAGAGCAUGAAGUCGGAAUCGCUAGUAAUCGCGGAUCAGCAUGUCGCGGUGAAUACGUUCCCGGGUCUU